rnacentral:rRNA from 1 species
GGGGGGGGGGGGGGGGGGGGGGGGCGGGGGGGGGGGGGGGGGGGGGGGCCGGCGUUGGGGGGGGGGGCGGGGGGCGCCCGGGUGAGUAGCCCGCGGGUAACCUGCCCGUGCCGGGGGGGUAACUUCCGGAACCUGCGGCUACGGCCUGGCACGCGCGCCUGCCCCCUGGGGUGGCGGCGCCCGCUUCGGCGGGUGGUGCUGUCCCCUCGGCGUCUCAGCUGGUCGGGGGGGUAGUGGCGUACCACGGCUUCGACGGGUAGCCGGCCUGAGAGGGGGACCGGCCACAUUGGGACUGAGAUACGGCCCAGACUCCUACGGGAGGCAGCAGUGGGGAAUAUUGCACAAUGGGCGGAAGCCUGAUGCAGCAACGCCGCGUGCGGGAUGACGGCCUUCGGGUUGUAAACCGCUUUCGCCUGUGACGAAGCGUGAGUGACGGUAAUGGGUAAAGAAGCACCGGCUAACUACGUG